GCUUUUAAAAUAAGUGGGCCAAGGCCCAUUUAGGCCCACACCAUUAUGUGCUCUCGGCAUGUUUUGACGCGUGAUCCCGCCCCCUCUCCGGCAGCCAAUCUCAGCUUCGAUUUCUGCAUCAAAAUCUAGGGUUAGGGGGGUUAGAAUUAGGGUUUUCGGUGGAGAUAUAUUUUUUUUUGAGAUGGCGUCGCCUGAGAACUCAAAUUGGGUCCUUGAUUACCCACUGAUCGACAGCAUCUCAGUGACCGGCGGCGAUUUUGGCGUCCCUGGAAACGGGUUCUUCUGGACCCCGCAAGGGAUCAACUGUACUCCCAGCGCUAGUAUGGAAACUAGUGGCAACUCGGUGGAUUCUGCUGUUCUUAAAGAACCAGGCUCUAAGAAACGUGUCAAGUCUGUACCCAGCAGC